AAAAAAUGGUGCCGUAACUUCGGGAGAAGGCACGCUGAUAUGUAGGUGAAGCGACUUGCUCGUGGAGCUGAAAUCAGUCGAAGAUACCAGCUGGCUGCAACUGUUUAUUAAAAACACAGCACUGUGCAAACACGAAAGUGGACGUAUACGGUGUGACGCCUCCCCGGUGCCGGAAGGUUAAUUGAUGGGGUUAGCGCAAGCGAAGCUCUUGAUCGAAGCCCCGGUAAACGGCGGCCGUAACGAUAACGGUCCUAAGGUAGCGAAAUUCCUUGUCGGGUAAGUUCCGACCUGCACGAAUGGCGUAAUGAUGGCCAGGCUGUCUCCACCCGAGACUCAGUGAAAUUGAACUCGCUGUGAAGAUGCAGUGUACCCGCGGCAAGACGGAAGGACCCCGUGAACCUUUACUAUAGCUUGACACUGAACAUUGAGCCUUGAUGUGUAGGAUAGGUGGGAGGCUUAGAAGUGUGGACGCCAGUCUGCAUGGAGCCGACCCUGAAAUACCACCCUUUAAUGUUUGAUGUUCUAACGUUGACCCGUAAUCCGGGUUGCGGACAGUGUCUGGUGGGUAGUUUGACUGGGGCGGUCUCCUCCUAAAGAGUAACGGAGGAGCACGAAGGUUGGCUAAUCCUGGUCGGACAUCAGGAGGUUAGUGCAAUGGCAUAAGCCAGCUUGACUGCGAGCGUGACGGCGCGAGCAGGUGCGAAAGCAGGUCAUAGUGAUCCGGUGGUUCUGAAUGGAAGGGCCAUCGCUCAACGGAUAAAAGGUACUCCGGGGAUAACAGGCUGAUACCGCCCAAGAGUUCAUAUCGACGGCGGUGUUUGGCACCUCGAUGUCGGCUCAUCACAUCCUGGGGCUGAAGUAGGUCCCAAGGGUAUGGCUGUUCGCCAUUUAAAGUGGUACGCGAGCUGGGUUUAGAACGUCGUGAGACAGUUCGGUCCCUAUCUGCCGUGGGCGCUGGAGAACUGAGGGGGGCUGCUCCUAGUACGAGAGGACCGGAGUGGACGCAUCACUGGUGUUCGGGUUGUCAUGCCAAUGGCACUGCCCGGUAGCUAAAUGCGGAAGAGAUAAGUGCUGAAAGCAUCUAAGCACGAAACUUGCCCCGAGAUGAGUUCUCCCUGACCCUUUAAGGGUCCUGAAGGAACGUUGAAGACGACGACGUUGAUAGGCCGGGUGUGUAAGCGCAGCGAUGCGUUGAGCUAACCGGUACUAAUGAACCGUGAGGCUUAACC
rnacentral:rRNA from 1 species